AUGGCAAGGAGUGGACCGUUGGUGACAACAAGGGAUAGAGCUUCAGCGUCUCCGGAUGGGAGAGUGGCAAGCACAUCCAGUCCGGUGACGUGCUUGUACAACCCGAGUAUGCACAAUGUGGUGCAGGUGGGACAAGGCGACUACAACUCAUGCAGGGUCUCGGGCCCGUCGAGGACCUACACCUCUGGCAAUGACCACAUCCAGCUCUCCCGCGGAGGCAAAGCGUUCUUCAUCUGCAGCCUUCCGGGUCACUGCCAGCAAGGCAUGAAGAUCGAUGUCACUGCUUAA
rnacentral:rRNA from 1 species